AGAGUUUGAUCCUGGCUCAGAUUGAACGCUGGCGGCAUGCCUUACACAUGCAAGUCGAACGGCAGCACGGACUUCGGUCUGGUGGCGAGUGGCGAACGGGUGAGUAAUAUAUCGGAACGUACCCUGGAGUGGGGGAUAACGCAGCGAAAGUUGCGCUAAUACCGCAUACGAUCUACGGAUGAAAGUGGGGGCUCGCAAGACCUCAUGCUCGUGGAGCGGCCGAUAUCUGAUUAGCUAGUUGGUAGGGUAAAAGCCUACCAAGGCUUCGAUCAGUAGCUGGUCUGAGAGGACGACCAGCCACACUGGGACUGAGACACGGCCCAGACUCCUACGGGAGGCAGCAGUGGGGAAUUUUGGACAAUGGGGGCAACCCUGAUCCAGCAAUGCCGCGUGAGUGAAGAAGGCCUUCGGGUUGUAAAG
rnacentral:rRNA from 1 species